rnacentral:lncRNA from 1 species
AAGAACAUGCAUACCAGCAGUUCAUUGGAUGUGCAUUUAAUAAUGAAGGGCAAGUAAGCCGUUUCUGGCGCUAUGGGUAUGAUGGCAGAGACAUCAUGCAUGUGGAUUUGGCCAAGGAAGCUGUGGUUGCUACCAGUGAACCUGGUCAGCUUUUAGCAGAAGAGAGAAAGAGCAAAGAAUACAUUAAGAGAAAAGAGGCACGACUAGUAAAGGUGUGUUCUGCUGUGAAAACUGUCUUCCUAAAGUCCAACAACUCCCUCUCCAGGGCAGCAAAACCUGCAGUAUAUGUGUCUUCUGGAGGAGAAAAGGAUCAGGAAUAUAUUAAAUGUGCUGUGCGUGGCUUCUAUCCAAACAUCAUUAAAGUACGCUGGACCCAUAAAGCAAGGCCAAUCUAUUUUGGUGUAUCAACUACUGGAGUACUCCCUCACAAAGAUGGCACUUUCCAGAUGACCUCCUAUCUUAGUCUUAGUAACGUGAGCAGCAGCGAUGUUACCUGUGAGAUUGAACACUUAAGCAUUGAUGGGAAAAUGAGGAUAAACUAUGGGGAUAAAUCGUUGUUUCUGUCACAAAUCACAGAACAUGUACUUAAGGCAGUGGCUGCCUUUCUUCUUGGAUUUGUAUUACCAGUUUGCAUAACUGUACUAUUUAUAUGCAUAAGGCAAAAGACAUCAAAACCACCCGAAGAUGAGAUAAAAGACACAAGUGAUGAAUCAGAAGCAUCUUUAUCUUUGAAUUUAAUGAAUAUCUCUCAGGAAACAUAAAAUAUUUAAGGCGAGUGUGACCCGAAACCAUAUAUUAUUAUUAUUAUAUUUUGGCCACAGACAAAUACUUUAAUUUUCAUAUUUGUGUAGAAUUGAAUCUCAAGUAUACACAAUGUCUGUAUAUCUAUAGGUAGCCUAUUAAAAAUCUGUGCUAGAGAUUUUACAUACUAGUUUGUGAUGCUUAAGCUUGUUGAUCUCUGUUUAUAGAGUUUGUAAAUGUAGUGUAACUUGUGCAUGGUCUAACAUAGGCUACUUUACACUAUUGUCAUCUUCACUUGUAAUCAUUAAUUUAUACAAAAUAAACAGGCUAUUUAUGACAAAUGAUUUAUGUAGUACAUUGGUAUUACUUUGGGAAUGUGAGUUAUUCCGUUAAGCUUUUAAGCUUAUAGUCUUUUAAUGUAUGUAUUUAUUUGUUUCCUUGUUUAUGGAAAUUCCAACACACGUACAAGGGCUUAGUACAUCGCAUUGCUUCGGGAAAAAAAAAAAAUAUCGGUUAAAUAAAGGAAAAGCAAAACUGUAACUGCAAAACUAAAGUAAUAAACAGUGCGUCAUCCGAACAUGUACGGCGAGCUCAAAAUGAUGACAUCCUGAAUAGCCAAUAGAUUUACAGAAAAUUGUUCUCGCGCCUUAGGCGCCAGUGCUUCAACCAAUAGCAGAGCGAGACUUUGUGGCUUCGCCACGGCGGAAAACCCAGCAAUUGGCUGCGCUUACAAACUGGGCGGGACCACAGGCUUCUGCAAGAUCCUCGCAGCCAUUUUCACGAAAGUGUUGCGGGCGCCAUGUCUGUGGAAGAUCCAGAAAAAGCCUUCGAACAUAAACACAAUAUUCUGCGUCUGCAGUCUCGCACCAGGGCAUCUGUGAAACCGCCGGGGACAUAAACAAAGCUGGGGGUAUCAAAGCUGUGUUGAGACAGCGUUAAACAUGAGAGCGGAUAUAAUGUCUGUUAAGCGUCUCAUGUGUUGUUGAGACGCGUAAACCGUGAGUUUUUCUCCAGACUGUCAGUAACGUUAUAUCAAAACCUUCAGCCAACGAGGGACUGAUGCUCCUCACUCUGCUUGCGGAGAAGGGCCAGUUCCGUUUCUAACAUCAUGGCUUUCGUGAGCCUCUUCUCCAGUCCCCCAAGCCCCGCACUUGACAAAAACAUGACAGACUGUGAGCUGACAGGGGAAGAAAGGUCGAGUAAACAUGUUCUUAUCUGCAAAUGCUUCACUGUGUGCGUCUAUCGAGUGAAUGUGGAUCUUCGUUUUCGUCUUUUCGGUACAGGUCCUUUCCCCCAGUUCACUAAGUAGUGGUCAUAUUUUCCUGCAUGUACUCUCAUUUCGAUAUCUGUUGCAGAGGAAAGCAGGUGACAGUGCACAUCUUUCACCGCUUUCCCCACUGGUUUGAUCUCUUAUUUAGCUGAUUUUGAAGGACAUUUGGGAUAUUGUAGGAGGCUGUAGUAGCUGGUCAUUAUUACAGUAAUGUUAAUGAGUAGUUUCAAGGCUGUUGAAUAUGUAAAUAGUCUUACGAUGCCCCGCCCACUCACGUUCUAUCGCCCCGCCCACCUGGGAAAGGAAAACAUGUCUGGUAGGGAUUCAUGAAUGUGAUAUUGUAAGAUCUUGGGCUAUUUUUGAAAAGCAACAGUAGUGUUCAAUAUUUAGUCUUUAAAUGUAUGUAUUUAUAUAUUUUCUUGUUUAUUAAAUUCCAAAACACGUACAAGGGCUUAGUAAGUUACAUCGCAUUGCUUCAAAAAAAAAAAAAAAAAAAUACUGGUUAAAUAAAAGAAAAAGCAAAACCGUUAAUAAAGUAAUAAACAUAGUGCGUCAUCCGAACAUGUACGGCGAGCUCAAAAAUGAUGACAUCCUGAAUAGCCAAUAGAUUUACAGAAAAUUGUUCUCGCGCCUUAGGCGCCAGUGCUUCAACCAAUAGCAGAGCGAGACUUUGUGGCUUCGCCACGGCGGAAAACCCAGCAAUUGGCUGCGCUUACAAACUGGGCGGGACCACAGGCUUCUGCAAGAUCCUCGCAGCCAUUUUCACGAAAGUGUUGCGGGCGCCAUGUCUGUGGAAGAUCCAGAAAAAGCCUUCGAACAUAAACACAAUAUUCUGCGUCUGCAGUCUCGCACCAGGGCAUCUGUGAAACCGCCGGGGACAUAAACAAAGCUGGGGGUAUCAAAGCUGUGUUGAGACAGCGUUAAACAUGAGAGCGGAUAUAAUGUCUGUUAAGCGUCUCAUGUGUUGUUGAGACGCGUAAACCGUGAGUUUUUCUCCAGACUGUCAGUAACGUUAUAUCAAAACCUUCAGCCAACGAGGGACUGAUGCUCCUCACUUCUGCUUGCGGAGAAGGGCCAGUGACCUUCGAACAUAAACACAAUAUUCUGCGUCUGCAGUCUCGCACCAGGGCAUCUGUGAAACCGCCGGGGACAUAAACAAAGCUGGGGGUAUCAAAGCUGUGUUGAGACAGCGUUAAACAUGAGAGCGGAUAUAAUGUCUGUUAAGCGUCUCAUGUGUUGUUGAGACGCGUAAACCGUGAGUUUUUCUCCAGACUGUCAGUAACGUUAUAUCAAAACCUUCAGCCAACGAGGGACUGAUGCUCCUCACUCUGCUUGCGGAGAAGGG